rnacentral:rRNA from 1 species
UACGAAGGGAGCUAGCGUUGUUCGGAAUCACUGGGCGUAAAGCGCACGUAGGCGGAUCGUUUAGUCAGGGGUGAAAUCCCGGAGCUCAACUUCGGAACUGCCUUUGAUACUGGCGAUCUCGAGUCCGAUAGAGGUGGGUGGAAUUCCUAGUGUAGAGGUGAAAUUCGUAGAUAUUAGGAAGAACACCGGUGGCGAAGGCGGCCCACUGGAUCGGUACUGACGCUGAGACGCGAAAGCGUGGGGAGCGAACAGG